rnacentral:lncRNA from 1 species
UCUUGAUUUUGGUUUUUUAUGUUUUAUCGGGUUGGGUUCUUGUAAGGUUGAACUAGAUUCUGGUAGCUGAACAGGAGAAAAUUCGGAAAUUGAAUCACUAGAUUUUGAAGGGUCAAGGAAAGUUUCUUCAUGUAAUGUUGGAUUGGAUUCAUGGAUAUGAGUAGAUUCAGGAAUGAUAUUCUUUUUCCUUGUGUAUACUAAAUUCUUCCCAUAUCUUAUAUCAACACCAACAUUUCCAUCUUUUUCGGAAUCAAUUUCAGUCUCAACAUUGUCACCUCUAGUUUCAACAUUUUUAGGAUCAAUUUCAGUCUCAACAUUGUCACUUCUAGUUUCAGUCUCAACUUGUGGUCCGAGAUUAAGGUCAGGAAGUAUAAGAGACUCAUCUUCCUUACUUGUGUUACUUGUGUUCUCCCCGUGAAGAUGAGUUUGAGCGAAGUAACUUUCUUGUUCAUGAAAGGUGACAUCUCGAGAGACAAAGAAUUUAUUAGACGGUGGAUGAUAACAUUUGUAACGCUUUUGGGUGGAAGAAUACCCUAUAA